UACGUAGGGUGCAAGCGUUAAUCGGAAUUACUGGGCGUAAAGCGUGCGCAGGCGGUUUUGUAAGGCUGUCGUGAAAGCCCCGGGCUUAACCUGGGAAUUGCGAUGGAGACUGCAAGGCUUGAAUCUGGCAGAGGGGGGUAGAAUUCCACGUGUAGCAGUGAAAUGCGUAGAGAUGUGGAGGAACACCGAUGGCGAAGGCAGCCCCCUGGGAUAACACUGACGCUCAUGCACGAAAGCGUGGGGAGCAAACAGG
rnacentral:rRNA from 1 species